UGUGCCCGGGUAAGUCCUAUGCGACCAGCUCCUGUCGAAUCCCCCCAGGGUCGGAAGGCAGCAAGGGUAGAUGGUCGUAGCGGUGCGACAUAGUUCGCUUACCCACCU
rfam:Odoribacter sp. CAG:788 genomic scaffold, scf92